rnacentral:misc_RNA from 1 species
GAAAUGCGAUAAGUAAUGUGAAUUGCAGAAUUCAGUGAAUCGUCGAAUCUUUGAACGCACAUUGCGCCCGCCAGUAUUCUGGCGGGCAUGCCUGUUCGAGCGUCAUUUCAACCAUCAAGCCCCCGGGCUUGUGUUGGGGACCUGCGGCUGCCGCAGGCCCCGAAAACCAGUGGCGGGCUCGCUGUCACACCGGGCGUAGUAGAUUUUUCGUCUCGCCCAGGGCGUGCUGCGGGUUCCGGCCGUUAAAAAGCCUCUCUUUUUAACCCAAGGUUGACCUCGGAUCAGGUAGGAAGACCCGCUGAACUUAAGC